UAGUUCAUAUCAGCAGAAAGGUCCAGCGAGACGGUCGCUGACUUAAGUGGAAUCAGCUGUUGUCGACUGAUCUCUUUAAUGAGUAACAGAGCCCGUUUAAUCAGUCACAGUUCUUCUGAACACACAGAGGAAGGAAGAUUUGAGUCUCAGCUUUAAAGAGAGGGAGGUCACUCAAACCCGAGAAAGAGGAGUAACUCCAGACCGUUCCAGAGAGGGAGAGCCAGAGACGCUUCAUUUCCUCAUUCUUUCAUUCAGUUCGUGUAAUGCUGGAAAACAAAUUAAAUCAGCUGAUCUGGAACCCAAAACUCAGAGUUUCCCACCCGAGGGUAAAUCAACUCGACCUGCUUUCUGAAACGGGGCCCCUGUUCACCCAAAGGCCCAGCUAGGGACAAGAGAUGGACAUGAGCAACAGCUACAAACCAUAGACUGUAAAUACUUCUACAAACUCUAUGUGACGCACACCACUUUCAUGUUUUGUUUUGAAACUAGAUUUAAGUUCCUGUUCCUUUUUCAGUGGUUACGUUGAUGUCCUAACAG